rnacentral:rRNA from 1 species
GACGAACGCUGGCGGCGUGCUUAACACAUGCAAGUCGAACGGUAAGGCCCUUCGGGGUACACGAGUGGCGAACGGGUGAGUAACACGUGGGUGAUCUGCCCUGCACUUUGGGAUAAGCCUGGGAAACUGGGUCUAAUACCGAAUAGGACUGCGCACUGCAUGGUGUGUGGUGGAAAGCUUUUGCGGUGUGGGAUGGGCCCGCGGCCUAUCAGCUUGUUGGUGGGGUGAUGGCCUACCAAGGCGACGACGGGUAGCCGGCCUGGGAGGGUGACCGGCCACACUGGGAGUGAGAUACGGCCCAGACUCCUACGGGGGGCAGCAGUGGGGAAUAUUGCACAAUGGGCGAAAGCCUGAUGCAGCGACGCCGCGUGAGGGAGGACGGCCUUCGGUUUGUAAACCUCUUUCAGCACAGACGAAGCGCAAGUGACGGUAUGUGCAGAAGAAGGACCGGCCAACUACGUGCCAGCCGCCGCCGUAA